ACAGCUCUUGAGGUUGAAAAUGGAUUGCUAGAGGCUAGCUUCUAUUCAGUUUCUUUCCUUUCUCCUUUCCCAGUCUCCAUUUCUCUCCCCUCUCCUUCUCUCCUUCCUUUCUAAGUUUGUAUGCAGAACCUGAUGGAUAGGGCAAUGUAUGUAAGACCAAGGCUGACUCCCCUGGGGGAAAGCCAGCAUGGCUAUAGCAGAGCUAUUCAAUGAUGAGCUGAGGGACCUGGAAGCCUAGACAUGAGCUACAUCAAGCCAUAUUCUGAGGUUUCCCAGAGAAAAUCCUGAGUUGAAGCAAAAGGAGUCAAAGACAACCUACUCACAAGAUUGCACCAAGAAUCCAUGUUAUCAGAACAAAGCCUUCCUUGAAAGAACAGAGGAGUUUCAAGAGAAGAAAAAGGAUUUGAAAAUCUGAACCUUGGUCAAGAUGCUGAAAGGUAGAAGAAUAUGAUCUACAAAAAAAGGAAAAGAAACACUAAGCUUUCCUUCCUUCCUUCCUUCCCUCCUUCCUUCCCUCCU